GAAGCUUGCUUCUAAAUGACCUAGCGGCGGACGGGUGAGUAACACGUAGGCAACCUGCCCACAAGACAGGGAUAACUACCGGAAACGGUAGCUAAUACCCGAUACAUCCUUUUCCUGCAUGGGAGAAGGAGGAAAGACGGAGCAAUCUGUCACUUGUGGAUGGGCCUGCGGCGCAUUAGCUAGUUGGUGGGGUAAAGGCCUACCAAGGCGACGAUGCGUAGCCGACCUGAGAGGGUGAUCGGCCACACUGGGACUGAGACACGGCCCAGACUCCUACGGGAGGCAGCAGUAGGGAAUCUUCCGCAAUGGGCGAAAGCCUGACGGAGCAACGCCGCGUGAGUGAUGAAGGUUUUCGGAUCGUAAAGCUCUGUUGCCAGGGAAGAACGCUUGGGAGAGUAACUGCUCUCAAGGUGACGGUACCUGAGAAGAAAGCCCCGGCUAACUACGUGCCAGCAGCCGCGGUAAUACGUAGGGGGCAAGCGUUGUCCGGAAUUAUUGGGCGUAAAGCGCGCGCAGGCGGCUCUUUAAGUCUGGUGUUUAAUCCCGAGGCUCAACUUCGGGUCGCACUGGAAACUGGAGAGCUUGAGUGCAAAAGAGGAGA
rnacentral:rRNA from 1 species